rnacentral:rRNA from 1 species
CGCCUUUUGUAAUAUUCACAUAAAAGGUCCUGCCUGCCCAAUGACUUAUUUUAAUGGCCGCGGUAUUAUGACCGUGCAAAGGUAGCGUAAUCAUUUGUCUCCUAAAUAGAGACCAGUAUGAAUGGCAAGACGAAGGCCUUACUGUCUCCCUAGACUAAUCAAUGAAAUUGAUCUCCCCGUGCAGAAGCGGGGAUAAAAGUAUAAGACGAGAAGACCCUGUGGAGCUUCAAACUCUAAUGCUAACUAAAUAUAAAUAUUAUAGCACUAAGCUUUAGGUUGGGGCGACCAUGAGGUAUAACUUAACCCUCACGUAAUAACAAGAAGGACACUUCAAACAACUAACACAGCACUUGACCCAAUAAUUGAUCAACGGACUAAGUUACCCCAGGGAUAACAGCGCAAUCUACUCAAAGAGUCCCUAUCGACGAGCAGGUUUACGACCUCGAUGUUGGAUCAGGACCCCCAAAUAAUGCAACAGCUAUUAAAGGUUCGUUUGUUCAACGAUUAAAGUCCU